UGCUGAUUUGCUGACGAGUGGCGGACGGGUGAGUAAUGUCUGGGAAACUGCCUGAUGGAGGGGGAUAACUACUGGAAACGGUAGCUAAUACCGCAUAACGUCGCAAGACCAAAGAGGGGGACCUUCGGGCCUCUUGCCAUCGGAUGUGCCCAGAUGGGAUUAGCUAGUAGGUGGGGUAACGGCUCACCUAGGCGACGAUCCCUAGCUGGUCUGAGAGGAUGACCAGCCACACUGGAACUGAGACACGGUCCAGACUCCUACGGGAGGCAGCAGUGGGGAAUAUUGCACAAUGGGCGCAAGCCUGAUGCAGCCAUGCCGCGUGUAUGAAGAAGGCCUUCGGGUUGUAAAGUACUUUCAGCGGGGAGGAAGGGAGUAAAGUUAAUACCUUUGCUCAUUGACGUUACCCGCAGAAGAAGCACCGGCUAACUCCGUGCCAGCAGCCGCGGUAAUACGGAGGGUGCAAGCGUUAAUCGGAAUUACUGGGCGUAAAGCGCACGCAGGCGGUUUGUUAAGUCAGAUGUGAAAUCCCCGGGCUCAACCUGGGAACUGCAUCUGAUACUGGCAAGCUUGAGUCUCGUAGAGGGGGGUAGAAUUCCAGGUGUAGCGGUGAAAUGCGUAGAGAUCUGGAGGAAUACCGGUGGCGAAGGCGGCCCCCUGGACGAAGACUGACGCUCAGGUGCGAAAGCGUGGGGAGCAAACAGGA
rnacentral:rRNA from 1 species